GCCUCGUUGGCGCAGUGGUAACGCGUUGCACUUGUACUCCACGUCAUAUGCAAAGAUCACUGGUUCAAACCCAGUACGAGGCA